AUUGAACGCUGGCGGCGUGCCUAACACAUGCAAGUCGAGCGGUAACGGGUGUAGCAAUACAUGCUGACGAGCGGCGAACGGGUGAGUAAUGCUUCGGAAUCUACCCAAUGGUGGGGAAUAACCAGCCGAAAGGUUGGCUAAUACCGCAUACGUCCCACGGGAGAAAGCAGGGGAUCGCAAGACCUUGCGCCAAUGGAUGAGCCGAAGUCGGAUUAGCUAGUUGGAGGGUAACGGCCUACCAAGGCGACGAUCCGUAGCUGGUCUGAGAGGACGACCAGCCACACUGGGACUGAGACACGGCCCAGACUCCUACGGGAGGCAGCAGUGGGGAAUAUUGGACAAUGGGGGAAACCCUGAUCCAGCGACGCCGCGUGUGUGAAGAAGGCCU
rnacentral:rRNA from 1 species